AAAGGUUUAGUUAAAAUAUAACAUUAACUUGUCAAGAUAAAAUUAUUACAAAGUGAUAACCUUUA
rnacentral:tRNA from 1 species